UGGGGAAUUUUGCGCAAUGGGCGAAAGCCUGACGCAGCAACGCCGCGUGAGUGAUGAAGGCUUUCGGGUCGUAAAGCUCUGUCAAGGGGAAAGAAGUGUAUUAUGGUUAAUACCCAUGAUGCUUGACGGUACCCCUACAGGAAGCACCGACUAACUCCGUGCCAGCAGCCGCGGUCAUACGGGGGGUGCAAGCGUUGUUCGGAAUUAUUGGGCGUAAAGCGCGUGUAGGCGGUUUGUUAAGUCUGAUGUGAAAGCCCCGGGCUCAACCGGGGAAGGGCAUUGGAAACUGGCAGACUUGAAUACGGGAGAGGGUAGUGGAAUUCCUGGUGUAGGAGUGAAAUCCGUAGAUAUCAGGAGGAACACCGGUGGCGAAGGCGGCUGCCUGGACCGAUAUUGACGCUGAGACGCGAAAGCGUGGGUAGCAAACA
rnacentral:rRNA from 1 species